CCCUUAGAUGUUCUGGGCCGCACGCGCGCUACACUGAUGCAUUCAACGAGUUUCUUCCUGGUCCGAGAGGAAUGGGUAACCUUUUGAAAGUGCAUCGUGAUAGGGAUAGACUAUUGCAAUUAUUGGUCUUCAACGAGGAAUUCCUAGUAGACGUAGUUCCUCAGACUGCAUCGAUUACGUCCCUGCCCUUUGUACACACCGCCCGUCGCUCCUACCGAUUGAAUGCUCAGGUGAGCCAUUCGGACUUUCAUCAUGCUGGUUUCCAGUUUUGAUGAAGGAAAGUCUUGCGAACCUUAUCAUUUAGAGGAAGGAGAAGUCGUAACA
rnacentral:rRNA from 1 species